GACGAACGCUGGCGGCGUGCUUAACACAUGCAAGUCGAACGGAAAGGCCCUGCUUUUGUGGGGUGCUCGAGUGGCGAACGGGUGAGUAACACGUGAGUAACCUUCCCUUGACUUUGGGAUAACUUCAGGAAACUCGGGCUAAUACCGGAUAGGAUCUCCUGCUGCAUGGUGGGGGUUGGAAAGUUUCGGCGGUUGGGGAUGUGCUCGCGGCUUAUCAGCUUGUUGGGGGGGUAGUGGCUUACCAAGGGUUUGACGGGUAGCCGGCCUGGGAGGGUGAACGGGGACAAUGGGAAUGAGGGAGGGACCAGAAGGGAACGGGAGGCAGCAGUGGGAAAGAUGGCAGAAUGGGGGGAAGCCUGAGGCAGCAAAGCCGGGGGCGGGAAGAGGGGCUUGGGGUUGUAAAACGCUGUGGGAGGAGACGAAGCGAGAGUGACGGUAAUGGGUAAAGAAGCACCGGCUAACUACGUG
rnacentral:rRNA from 1 species